rnacentral:ncRNA from 12 species
AGUAGGAGAGGUGGACAAUUUCGGCACGUCCACACACCUUAUGGGUCAAAAGAGAUGAGGGAGAAUGUGCCGCCCUCCUCCUAAA